UACGAAGGGGGCUAGCGUUGUUCGGAAUUACUGGGCGUAAAGCGCAUGUAGGCGGUUGGAUAAGUCCGUUGUUAAAGCCCCUGGCUCAACUGGGGGAGGUCAAUGGAGACUAUUCGACUUGAGGGCAACAGAGGCACAUGGAACUCCCGGUGUAGCGGUGGAAUGCGUAGAGAUCCGGAAGAACACCGGUGGCGAAGGCGGCCUGCUGGGCAGUUGCUGACACUGAGGCGCGACAGCGUGGGGGAGCAAACAGG
rnacentral:rRNA from 1 species